UAACCGCUGUCGAAGUGGGAGGUCAUGC
rnacentral:piRNA from 1 species